GAAGAACGAAAGAGGCAGGCGUAGUAUAAAUAGUUUACCGGGUAACGAUCCUUGCUGGAUUUACCAUUCUAAGGUUAAUAACUUCUUCAGGCGAGUCAUUUGUGAAACCGUAAGCAUUUUAACAGCUUUGCUUUCUUCCUUUAUUAUUGCCAUAAAAAAUUCUUCGAGACUAUAUGUCUGGAAAAUUUUCCGUACUAAGAGGAUGUUAAAUCCCAAAUCUAGAAGAAUAUCGGCAUUUGCAAUAUUUUUUUCUUUCUCAUCGUUAUAUGAAAAGGCCCAUUUUGCAAUGAAAUAUUUCAUCCAAUCAAUAAAAAAGUCAGUAGUCUCAUGAAUGAAAAAAACAUCAACACGUGAAUUCAAUAAAUAAAGUUUGAUUUUCCAGAAAAGAUCAGGAUCAACGUCUUGUAUUAUUUCAGAAAACUCCACAAUUAUAAUGACUCUCUGAAAUUCAGUUAAAAGAUCGUUUACCGCUUUAUCGUAAUGCAAUGAGCCGUUAUUUCUGAGUUGCAUAAAUCGGCUCGCCUGAAUUUUAUAUACACAUGUUGAAUGGUUUAUAAUGAAAUCGCAUUCUCCAAAGUAAGAUUGUUCGAUAAGGUCUAGAUGGGAAUUUUUACAUAAUGACUGAAUUACCUUUUGGUUCUCAAUCACCUUGUUUUCAUUUACGGCUAUGCAUUUAUUCUCAAUAUCUUCUUCCAAUAUUGAAUGCUUUACUGAGUAGUUAUUAAAUGAGCAAUCUUCCUUUCCAUUGUAAACUGAAUUAGAGGUAGGAAUUUCAAUAUGAGAAUUUGCAUAUGUCCCAGAAUUUAUCAAGUAUGAAGUGGAAGAUAUACCGGUGUCACUAACAUCCUUGUCCUUCUUUAUUUUUUUUUUGGUGACUAACAUGGACAUUAGUUCAUUAUCGAUGAAAGAUCUCUUUUGAGGAGCUAAUGAUGUGUUAAUAUCCGCCUUAGAUGAAAGACAAUCAUUUUCAUCAAAUUCUUCGGUUUCAAUAGCAGUUUCAUCGUGUCUUUCACUUUCUUCAAUUGACUGAUUUUCAGUUUUUUUUACAUCUGGCAUACUCAUUGCAAGCUUUAUACUACCAAACGUCUUUUUUUGAUUAUCGAUCAGGUCAAGGGAGCCGGAAUCUAAUUUUUGAAAAGUUAACCUUAAUGGUUUGAUCGAAUAGGCCUCCCUAUUUAUGGUAACAUGCUCAAAUAUUGCAUACCUAGAAUGAUUGCAAAUUCUUUUCAGAGGAUCCCAUACCAAAUCCUUUAGGUCUUCUUUUUCUAGACACCAUAUUUUAUAGUUCUUUUUCUCAAUUGGCUUAUUCUUUUUCAAUUUUUUCAUUCUUAUUUUAAAAAAUUCUAGUUUAUUAAAUUGAGCAUCAAAGAGUUCAUCAUAACGUUUUUCAAACGUAUUAAGCUGUUGAUCAUGUUCUGGGACUUUCACAACCCAGCUUUGCGAACUGGUCUUGAAAUUGUACUUACUGCACCUACUCUUAUAUUUGAAAGAUUUCUCAGGUGAGAUCCGUUGUAAACGGUAUCUAUUGUAGGUUUGCUCAAAAAUUUGGGGCUUCCAUUCUGACAAAGGUUUAUCAGAAAAUCCAACGCAGAAGUUCAACUUUUCCUCCGUUAGUGUGCUGCAUUGCACUUCCAGUACAGAGGACAUUUGUCUUAAACUCGGAUAUGGUACCUUUUUCCUGUAUUGACUUCUUCUGAGAAGUGGGAUGUUGAACCACUCUAACCUCGUGUUAUCGUCUGCCAAACCGUGUUCCGUCAUUUUUUGGUGAAGAGGAGCAUUUAAUUGAACUGAAAGACUUUUCAUCCAGCUAAAAAAUAACAUGUCCUGUUUCUCGACUUUUAACUUUUCCUUGAAUAACUCAUACUGUAGUUCUUCUUUGUUGUCAUUCUCAAUGUUAGUCACAUUCCAUGUUUUGCCAACGGCUACAUCUAUUUUUUGUCUUCCAGAGGUGAUGUGAAUUACCUCCAAAAAAUACUCUUCACCAUUGAUCGUGCCGCAAUUUUCAUACCCUCCGAUUUUCAGUGGUUUAAGUUGCAAAUUUCUUAGCUCUUUCAAAUAUUUUUGUGCUCGUCUUCCCAGUUUGAUGUUUUCUUUUAAGUUUCCUGACAGAACAGAAUAGCCGCCCACAUUUUGGUUACAUUUAGAUAACUUUACUUCCCAACGU
rnacentral:sRNA from 1 species